AUGUCAUGUUGUGGGCAACUUGUAUAAAACCUUUUGAACCUCUCCCAAUAUUUAUAUAAUUCUUCAAUAUCUUUCUAUUUGAUACCACUGAUUUCUCUUCUAAUGCC